CCACCACUAAGCCAGUGGUGAACUCCACAUACGCAUCCUUUGCUGAGGAUACGGUUAACGGAGCGAAAGCGACGUUCAACCUCAAAAGAAGCAGAGGGGGCUUAGUGGUGGGGUGACUGCGUACCUUUUGUAUAAUGGGUCAGCGACUUAUAUUCUGUAGCAAGGUUAACCGCAUAGGGGAGCCGUAGGGAAACCGAGUCUUAACCGGGCGUUAAGUUGCAGGGUAUAGACCCGAAACCCGGUGAUCUAGCCAUGGGCAGGUUGAAGGUUGGGUAACACUAACUGGAGGACCGAACCGACUAAUGUUGAAAAAUUAGCGGAUGACCUGUGGCUGGGGGUGAAAGGCCAAUCAAACCGGGAGAUAGCUGGUUCUCCCCGAAAGCUAUUUAGGUAGCGCCUCGUGAACUCAUCUCCGGGGGUAGAGCACUGUUUCGGCUAGGGGGCCAUCCCGGCUUACCAACCCGAUGCAAACUGCGAAUACCGAAGAAUGUUAUCACGGGAGACACACGGCGGGUGCUAACGUCCGUCGUGAAGAGGGAAACAACCCAGACCGCCAGCUAAGGUCCCAAAGUCAUGGUUAAGUGGGAAACGAUGUGGGAAGGCACAGACAGCCAGGAUGUUGGCUUAGAAGCAGCCAUCAUUUAAAGAAAGCGUAAUAGCUCACUGGUCGAGUCGGCCUGCGCGGAAGAUGUAACGGGGCUAAACCAUGCACCGAAGCUGCGGCAGCGACACUAUGUGUUGUUGGGUAGGGGAGCGUUCUGUAAGCCGUUGAAGGUGUCCUGUGAGGGAUGCUGGAGGUAUCAGAAGUGCGAAUGCUGACAUAAGUAACGAUAAUGCGGGUGAAAAACCCGCACGCCGGAAGACCAAGGGUUCCUGUCCAACGUUAAUCGGGGCAGGGUGAGUCGACCCCUAAGGCGAGGCCGAAAGGCGUAGUCGAUGGGAAACAGGUUAAUAUUCCUGUACUUGGUGUUACUGCGAAGGGGGGACGGAGAAGGCUAUGUUGGCCGGGCGACGGUUGUCCCGGUUUAAGCGUGUAGGUGUGUGUUCUAGGUAAAUCCGGUUCACUUUAACACUGAGGCGUGAUGACGAGGCACUACGGUGCUGAAGUGACAAAUGCCCUGCUUCCAGGAAAAGCCUCUAAGCAUCAGGUAACACGAAAUCGUACCCCAAACCGACACAGGUGGUCAGGUAGAGAAUACCAAGGCGCUUGAGAGAACUCGGGUGAAGGAACUAGGCAAAAUGGUGCCGUAACUUCGGGAGAAGGCACGCUGAUAUGUAGGUGAAGCGGUUUACCCGUGGAGCUGAAAUCAGUCGAAGAUACCAGCUGGCUGCAACUGUUUAUUAAAAACACAGCACUGUGCAAACACGAAAGUGGACGUAUACGGUGUGACGCCUGCCCGGUGCCGGAAGGUUAAUUGAUGGGGUUAUCCGUAAGGAGAAGCUCUUGAUCGAAGCCCCGGUAAACGGCGGCCGUAACUAUAACGGUCCUAAGGUAGCGAAAUUCCUUGUCGGGUAAGUUCCGACCUGCACGAAUGGCGUAAUGAUGGCCAGGCUGUCUCCACCCGAGACUCAGUGAAAUUGAACUCGCUGUGAAGAUGCAGUGUACCCGCGGCAAGACGGAAAGACCCCGUGAACCUUUACUAUAGCUUGACACUGAACACUGGUCCUUGAUGUGUAGGAUAGGUGGGAGGCUUUGAAGUGUGGACGCCAGUCUGCAUGGAGCCAUCCUUGAAAUACCACCCUUUAAUGGCUGGUGUUCUAACGUGGGCCCCUAAUCGGGGUUGCGGACAGUGUCUGGUGGGUAGUUUGACUGGGGCGGUCUCCUCCCAAAGAGUAACGGAGGAGCACGAAGGUUAGCUAAUCCUGGUCGGACAUCAGGAGGUUAGUGCAAAGGCAUAAGCUAGCUUGACUGCGAGAGUGACGGCUCGAGCAGGUGCGAAAGCAGGUC
rnacentral:rRNA from 1 species